GACAGAGGGUGCAAACGUUGUUCGGAAUUACUGGGCGUAAAGCGCGUGUAGGCGGCUCUGCAAGUCGGAUGUGAAAUCCCACGGCUCAACCAUGGAAGUGCAUUCGAAACUGCAGGGCUAGAGUCCUGGAGAGGAAGGUGGAAUGCUUGGUGUAGAGGUGAAAUUCGUAGAUAUCAAGCGGAACACCGGUGGCGAAGGCGGCCUUCUGGACAGUGACUGACGCUGAGACGCGAAAGCGUGGGGAGCAAACAGGAAUUAAGAAACC
rnacentral:rRNA from 1 species